rnacentral:tRNA from 2 species
GCCGAAGUGGUGGAAUUGGCAGACGCGCUGGAUUCAAAAUCCAGUGGGCUUUAUCGCCCGUGUGGGUUCGACCCCCACCUUCGGCACCA